rnacentral:rRNA from 1 species
GACGAACGCUGGCGGCGUGCCUAAUACAUGCAAGUCGAACGCUUCUUUCCUCCCGAGUGCUUGCACUCAAUUGGAAAGAGGAGUGGCGGACAGGUGAGUAACACGUGGGUAACCUACCCAUCAGAGGGGGAUAACACUUGGAAACAGGUGCUAAUACCGCAUAACAGUUUAUGCCGCAUGGCAUAAGAGUGAAAGGCGCUUUCGGGUGUCGCUGAUGGAUGGACCCGCGGUGCAUUAGCUAGUUGGUGAGGUAACGGCUCACCAAGGCCACGAUGCAUAGCCGACCUGAGAGGGUGAUCGGCCACACUGGGACUGAGACACGGCCCAGACUCCUACGGGAGGCAGCAGUAGGGAAUCUUCGGCAAUGGACGAAAGUCUGACCGAGCAACGCCGCGUGAGUGAAGAAGGUCUUCGGAUCGUAAAACUCUGUUGUUAGAGAAGAACAAGGACGUUAGUAACUGAACGUCCCCUGACGGUAUCUAACCAGAAAGCCACGGCUAACUACGUG